rnacentral:rRNA from 1 species
AGAGUUUGAUCCUGGCUCAGGAUGAACGCUAGCGGCAGGCUUAACACAUGCAAGUCGAGGGGCAGCGAGGGUAGCAAUACCUGUCGGCGACCGGCGCAAGGGUGCGUAACGCGUGAGCAACAUGCCCGUAUCAGGGGGAUAAUCCAGGGAAACUUGGUCUAAUACCGCAUAAUAAUCAUUUGGGGCAUCUUGGAUGAUUUAAAAUUUCGAUGGAUACGGAUUGGCUCGCGCGACAUUAGCUGGAUGGUAGGGUAACGGCCUACCAUGGCUACGAUGUCUAGGGGUUCUGAGAGGAAGGUCCCCCACACUGAAACUGAGACACGGUCCAGACUCCUACGGGAGGCAGCAGUGAGGAAUAUUGGACAAUGGAUGGAAAUCUGAUCCAGCCAUGCCGCGUGCAGGAAGACGGCCCUAUGGGUUGUAAACUGCUUUCGUAUGGGAGCAAUAAGGGCUACGUGUAGCCUGAUGAGAGUACCAUACGAAUAAGGACCGGCUAACUCCGUGCCAGCAGCCGCGGUAAUACGGAGGGUGCAAGCGUUAUCCGGAUUUAUUGGGUUUAAAGGGUGCGUAGGCGGUUAUUUAAGUCAGUGGUGAAAGUUUUCGGCUCAACCGGAAAAUUGCCAUUGAUACUGGGUAGCUAGAAUAUGGUUGCUGUGAGUAGAAUGUGUGGUGUAGCGGUGAAAUGCAUAGAUAUCACACAGAAUACCGAUUGCGAAGGCAUCUCACAAAGCCAUCAUUGACGCUGAGGCACGAAAGUGUGGGGAUCAAACAGGAUUAGAUACCCUGGUAGUCG